GAUGAACGCUGGCGGCGUGCUUAACACAUGCAAGUCGAACGGAACUCCUGUGACUGAGGUUUCGGCCAAAUGAUCAGGAUGUUUAGUGGCGGACGGGUGAGUAACGCGUGAGUAACCUGCCUUGGAGUGGGGAAUAACACAGUGAAAAUUGUGCUAAUACCGCAUAAUGUGUCUGAACCGCAUGAUUCUGGACACCAAAGAUUUAUCGCUCUGAGAUGGACUCGCGUCUGAUUAGCUAGUUGGCGGGGCAACGGGCCCACCAAGGCGACGAUCAGUAGCCGGACUGAGAGGUUGGCCGGCCACAUUGGGACUGAGACACGGCCCAGACUCCUACGGGAGGCAGCAGUGGGGAAUAUUGGGCAAUGGGCGCAAGCCUGACCCAGCAACGCCGCGUGAAGGAAGAAGGCUUUCGGG
rnacentral:rRNA from 1 species